rnacentral:misc_RNA from 1 species
GAAAAAGUUCUACUUUACCCAGACAAUUUCAAUGAAUUGUGAGUUCUUUCCUUUAGGUAAAAGGGAAGGCAUGUCAGAGGGAACCAGUGAUGUUUUUUUAUACAUCCAAGAUCAUGGAUCUUCAGGAUCUAAGGGUGAUGAAGAGCACAAAAUGAUGAAAAGGACGUUGAUCUCUAUUGAAUCAACUGCAUUUUUGUGCAUUAUGGGGCUCUUAAUCACUACCUUGACGGUGGAUAGACUCCAGAAUUCCAGGAUUUGGGAUUUUGAGAUGUGGAAAUGGUGUUUCUUAAUACUGGCUGUUCUCUGUGGUAGACUGAUUGUUUACCUUCCGGUUAAGUUGAUUUGGAAGUUUUGUUCACGGAGGCACUGGACUGAGAAAGCACUUUACUUCGCAUAUGGAUUAAAGAAGAGCAUCAUCGUUUUAAUAUGGGUGGCUUUGGUUUUACUAGCUUGGGCUCUGCUGUUUGACAGAGGGGUUAAGCGAAGCGAGGAAGUAAGAAAGACUCUAAAUUAUGUUACUAGAUUUCUUAUUGGUUUUCUCAUUGGAGUUGGUAUAUGGUCAGUGAAAACUGUUUUAGUAAAGCUUGUAGCUUAUUUCCAUGUGAAGACUUUGUUUCAGAGGAUUAAGGAAGCAAACUACAAUCGCAAGAUCCUUGAGGCUGUUUCAAAGAAGGAAGAGGUCAAGCAAGACACAAGUAGAGAGUUGCUAAAUGCUAUUUUUGGUGAAAAGCUGCCUACUCUCGGCUUCAUCGGUGAUGGCAAGUAUAAAGAGAUCAACAUAGAAGAUGAUCAUGUGGGAGAAGCAAAAGAAGCUGCUAAUGAGAUUUUCAAGAAACUCGUGGGUCCUAAUUACAAUGAUGAUAAAUACGUGGACUUGAAAAUCCUAUUGAAUUGCCUGAAAGAUAAAGAGCAGUGUCCUGAUUGUCAACUGGUAAAGAAAAAGAAGUGUCAACAAUGCGAAGUGAUAAAGGAAACGCGUGAAUAUUUCGAAGCGGUAGCAGAAGAUAAAUCUACGGGCAGAGAACAGAACAAUCAAUCUGAAUUCAGGAUAUGGGUUAACGAAUUGGUAAACGGUGAACCUGCAGAAGCUGCAGCAGAUAAAGCCGCACAUGGAGAUAAACAGAUAAAGAAAUCCGUCUUCAGAAAUUGGGUGGUGAAAGUUUACAAGGACUAUGCAUCGGUGAAUAGCGCCUUGAAAUACAGAAAAACAGCAGUUGACGAGUUGAACACGCUUGCUUCCGUGGUGGUGCUUUU